ACGAACGCUGGCGGCAGGUCUAACACAUGCAAGUCGAGCGGACCUUUCGGGGUCAGCGGCGGACGGGUGAGUAACGCGUGGGAAUAUGCCCUUCUCUACGGAAUAGUCCUGGGAAACUGGGGGUAAUACCGUAUACGCCCUUUGGGGGAAAGAUUUAUCGGGGAAGGAUUAGCCCGCGUUGGAUUAGGUAGUUGGUGGGGUAAUGGCCUACCAAGCCGACGAUCCAUAGCUGGUUUGAGAGGAUGAUCAGCCACACUGGGACUGAGACACGGCCCAGACUCCUACGGGAGGCAGCAGUGGGGAAUCUUAGACAAUGGGGGCAACCCUGAUCUAGCCAUGCCGCGUGAGUGAUGAAGGCCUUAGGGUUGUAAAGCUCUUUCAGCUGGGAAGAUAAUGACGGUACCAGCAGAAGAAGCCCCGGCUAACUCCGUG
rnacentral:rRNA from 1 species